AUUUUACCUCGAACCGUGCUCGAAUGGAGCGUGGUAGUACACUAGCUAGUAGGCCGACAACGCUUAACGGUAAAGACACAUGUCGAAAGCUGUGGAACUCAUCAGGAUUUGAUUACUGCUGUGAUCUGAUGGACAGCAACAACAUCAGACGUGUGGACAUAUUGGAUACAGCCUGCCCACCGUGUAGCAUUGACAGCCACAGUGGCAAGCAUGUUCCAGCAAAGUAGCGGUGCCACUGUAUGCAAAUACCAUCAUCAUUGAACAACCAGCCAAUCUUGUGACUCUAGGGCAACAUUGUUUUGAGCUUGUAAGCCAGGGACUUCAUUCAAAAAAGAAACUCUCCUUGACACAGAUCCAUCAGGUGUGCUGUUCAGGUCGCCACAAAGAACAGCAGCUGAUUUGGCUUGACUGUCCUACAUGGGGAAACAAAACAAGUGGACAAUUACAUGUACAAGUGGUUCCAUGCACAAAAGUAAUCAAAACUUCACUCAUUAAAUAACACUUUAUACCAUACAGAUUUGACUGAAAUAAAUUUGGGAUGUUCCAUGAGGCUAAGAAAUGUUCUGUGACAUUUUGGCAAAUUUGUAGACAGGAUAAAGUAUCCCUCACUGUAACUGAAUUGUUCUGUGUAAAAGUUAGUGUAACUUAACCCUAACACUCCUCAAUCCUUCACCUGUUGGAGGACUGAGGAGUGUUAGGGUUAAUGUUUAUAGAAUAUUUCAGACCAUUUUUGCAUUUGGGGCAUCUUUAACAAAAACAUGCUGCAAACGUAACUUGUUACAGGUUUAAUCAGGUUUGGUAAAACAUUAGUGUUUUAAAGCACCAGUAUCUCUCAAAAAUAGCCAGGAACUCAGCAAACUAGUCUAAACCUGUACAUGUAGUGAAGAAACUGAGUGUAAAGCCUCAGAGCUGCAGCAAGAAAUCUGUCACUGGAACCUUCUUUGAAUAUACAAGUACAAUGGAUUUCUUGGAAUAUAUCCAGGACUUUACUUUUAAACUAGUCUUACACUAGUUAGGAAUGGAUCUGUUUGCGAUCUGUUUGAGGGAGACUGGUGCAGAGGAUGCUUUUACUUCAAUGCAAUAUUUUACCAAAAAUAUAAUCUUAAAUACAAAGGUGUUACAAAGUCGCAAUAAAUUGAGAGGAUUUCCCAGCAAAUAAUGCUGGAAUUUUCUCAUUUUGAGUGAAAAAUACAAAAAG